UACGAAGGUCCCAAGCGUUAUCCGGAUUUAUUGGGUUUAAAGGGUGCGUAGGCGGGUUAUUAAGUCAGUGGUGAAAGCCUUCAGCUUAACUGAAGAACUGCCAUUGAUACUGAUGAUCUUGAGUAUGAUUGAGGUGGGCGGAAUGUGUCAUGUAGCGGUGAAAUGCUUAGAUAUGACACAGAACACCGAUUGCGAAGGCAGCUCACUAAGCCAUAACUGACGCUGAUGCGCGAAAGCGUGGGGAGCAAACAGG
rnacentral:rRNA from 1 species